GACAAAACUGUUUUUAAUGUCCUCUUCUUCCUCCUGACUCUCUGCUCUGUCAUCUCACCGCUUCUCAUAAAGCCUGACCAGGCGCGUCCCCGCCUCCCUCAUUGACUACAAACCACCUGGGCCUGCGCGCUCCCGACAUUCGCAACCCGGGCGCACGUGAGUGCGCAUUCAUGUGGGCCGGCAAUCAUCUACAAUUAACGCACCUGUCGCUGAUGAGAAGCCCUGCCUUCAUAAGCCAGCACAACCUGCUAUCCUGGGCCAGAACGUAGCCACCUGUCCUGUACACAGCGUACCUCCGUUCCCGCGUCACAAGUGUGUGUCUCGUCUCCCCGUAUUUCCUCUGCUUCCCUGGUUGCCUGGACACGGACUUUGACGCCUCUCUCCUCCCCUCGACCUCACGUCUGCUCACGGACCUCCGAGCCAGCCUUGCCCCUCUUAGACUUCCUUCCGCCUCUCGCUCAACACUACCGAUAACACUCAUCAGAUAAUUGCUACACAUGGUCACACACA